rnacentral:rRNA from 1 species
GAUGAACGCUGGCGGCGUGCCUAAUACAUGCAAGUCGAGCGAACAGACGAGGAGCUUGCUCCUCUGACGUUAGCGGCGGACGGGUGAGUAACACGUGGAUAACCUACCUAUAAGACUGGGAUAACUUCGGGAAACCGGAGCUAAUACCGGAUAAUAUAUUGAACCGCAUGGUUAAAUAGUGAAAGAGGGUUUUCCUGUAACUAUUAGACGGAUCCGCGCCGCAUUAGCUAGUUGGUAAGGUAACGGCCUACCAAGGCAACGAUGCGUAGCCGACCUGAGAGGGUGAUCGGCCACACUGGAACUGAGACACGGUCCAGACUCCUACGGGAGGCAGCAGUAGGGAAUCUUCCGCAAUGGGCGAAAGCUUGACGGAGCAACACCGCGUGAGUGAUGAAGGUCUUCGGAUCGUAAAACUCUGUUAUUAGGGAAGAACAAAUGUGUAAGUAACUAUGCACGUCUUGACGGUACCUAAUCAGAAAGCCACGGCUAACUACGUG